rnacentral:lncRNA from 1 species
UAUCCCUAAUUACUUUAUAACCUUCCGAAGUUUCUUUGUUACUUUGAACUUUAGUAAAGUGAAUAAUAAUAUCUACAGCAUGGAUAGUUCACAGUAAAGUGGUUAGUAUGUUUUUCUGUCACAUUGAAUGUACUUUGAAAGAUUCCUUCUUGUCCUGGCAGGUGGCAGAGUCAGGAAGAACUCUGAGUUCAGGCUAUAGAGUAAGACUGUUUCAAAGAAUCAAAUCUUUCUUAUAAAAAAAUUAUAAUCUAGAUUGAAUCCAGCUAUAUUGAGCCUACAAUUUAUUACAUUAUGCCAAAAUUUUAAGAAUAUAUUUAAAACUUACAUAACACCUACUUCCUAAAACUAAAGCAACACAUAUUCUAAAUCAGAUUAAAUAGGAAAAUGUGUGACUAAAGAAAGUUUUUUUUUAAUAGGCAAAUAAUUAUGCCAGGAACAUGGGCAUUGGCUUCACAGAUAAACAUUAAAGAAUGUUAUGUGUUUCCAGGUAAAAAGAGGGAAAACCAUAAUGGUCUAUAUCAUUUUCAUUAGCAAAGAAACUCAUUUUUCAAGAGGAAAGAAGUUCUCUGAAAGUUAUUACUUAGAAUUAUGAUUCUUUUAAGAUAUUAUCUGUGUGUGUGCAGACAUUUGCGCUAUUUGCCUGCAUGUCAGAAGACAGCUUUGUUGAAUCACUUCUGUUCUUCUACCUUUUAUGCGUGCUCCAGGGAAUGAACUUGAGUGGCCAGGCUUCCUCUGUGAGCACCUUUAUUUACUGACCAUCUUACUGGUCUUUAAAAUAAAUGUUGUCUUCAGAUUUAUUUUUUCUUAGUUAAUGUAUGUGUGUGUGCUUACCUGAGUUUAUUAUGUGCACUGCAUGUAUACAGGUGCCGCUGGAGGCGAGAAGGCAUCGUUCCUCUAGAAUUGGAGUUAUAGGUGUGGGUACUGGCAACUGAACCCUGAGUCGUCUACAAAAGCAAUGAGCAGUAACUGCAGAGCCAUCUCUCUAGGUCCAAAAAUAAUGAGUCCUUUUAUUUUAUUAUUUCACACAGGGUCCCAUGUAUUCCAUUCUGUCCUCCAACUUCCUAUGUAGAUAGGAUGGCUUUGAACUUCUGGUCCUCCUGCCUAAACCUUCCGAACAUUUGUAUUACUGAUGUGUGCAACCAUAACCAGUUUGUUUGUUUGUAUUUUAAAUGAUCUUGUGUUUAUGUGCACAUGCGUAUUGCGUAAUCCAGAAGAGAGAGCAUCAGAUCCCCUUGUAAGCCACAGGAUUUGGGUGCUAGGAACCAUAGGUUCUCUGGAAGAAGACCAAGUAUGUUUAUUCACUUAGCCAUCUAUAUUUAGCCACUGGAAUAGCGAGUCUUAAUCUGAUCAACAAACCCUCAAAUCAAAAAUGCCAUUAAUCCCAGCACUAGGGAGGCAGAGGUUGGUAUGUCUCUGUGAGUGCAAGGCCAGCCAGGUAAUUCUAAGGAAGCCAAGACUGUGUAAAGAGACCUUUCCUCUCUCUAAGAGAGAGAGGGAGAGGGAGAGAGAUAAAAAAAUUACAAAGCACAAUAUGCUUAAUAGUACUGAAAAUGAUUUAAAUGGUUCUCUUUUAUGUUACAUAUAUUUUACUACAAUAAGGGUUUAGGUUUUUUGUUUGUUUGUUUAAGUUUCUAAGAAAAUAUGGUUGUAGCGGGAUGUGAUGACACAGGCUUUUCAUUCUAGGACCAAAAAGCAGAAACAGGCAGUCUCAGGGCUCAAGGCUAGCCAGGGCUACACAGUAAAACUGUCUCAAAUAGGAGAGAGACAGUACAGCUGAAGAUGGCUUGCAGUUAAGAGAACUCUUCCCAGAGAACCUAAGGUUAGACUUGAGGACCCAGGUUUGGUUCCCAGUUCCUGUAUCCAACAGCUCCCAACCACCUGUAACUCUAGUUUUUAAGCAUCUGGUGCCCUCUUCUGGCUUCUAAAGUCAUCUGCUCACAGGAAGUGAAGUAUACAUACACUCAGGCACACAUAUAUACUCAUAAAUUAAUAAAUACAUUUGUUAAUAAGAGGAAAUAUAGCUGUGGAUUAUUACUGCAAAGUUUUAAUAAGUGGGAAGAUAUGCAUUUUAGAUAUGAAAUUGGGAAUAUCAAACUAAGAAUUUUGAUAGAAGUCUCAAAAUGCAAAAUGUGGAGGUAGGGGAGGACAAAGGAGAAUCUGGAGAAGGACCGAAGCGAAUCUGACCCAGAAGCUGGUGAGACGGUGCCGUGAUUAAAGCUGUGAUGGCCUGACUCUUACAAGUUGUUCUCUGGCCUCCACAAGCAUGCUGUGACACACAGGCAUCCACACACAUGACAUGGAAAAUUAAAAACAGAAAAAAAAAUCUUU